GUAAAUAUAGUAUAAAGGUUAGUAUAUUGUAUUGUGAAUUCAAAGAUACGAGUUCAAUUCUCGUUAUUUACC
rnacentral:tRNA from 1 species